UCGGGAUAGCUCAGUUGGUAGAGCAGAGGUCUGAAA
rnacentral:tRNA from 1 species